GGAAACCUGAAAUGUUCGAUACUCUUGUAGUUUUGAACCUACAAUACUUUAAACGGGAGUCUUACAUCUCUGUAAUAUGUCAGGCCAUCGACUUUGCAGUGGAAGGCAGAAAAGCAGAUGCGGAUACCCACCUAGCGGGUGCUAGGAGUCAGAAUACAGGAACCGGCAUUUUGGGGAAUAU
rfam:Dorea sp. 42_8 Ley3_66761_scaffold_10543, whole genome shotgun sequence.